GACGAACGCUGGCGGCGUGCUUAACACAUGCAAGUCGAACGAUGAAGCCUUUCGGGGUGGAUUAGUGGCGAACGGGUGAGUAACACGUGGGCAAUCUGCCCUUCACUCUGGGACAAGCCCUGGAAACGGGGUCUAAUACCGGAUAACACUCUUCCCUGCAUGGGGAGGGGUUAAAAGCUCCGGCGGUGAAGGAUGAGCCCGCGGCCUAUCAGCUUGUUGGUGGGGUAAUGGCCUACCAAGGCGACGACGGGUAGCCGGCCUGAGAGGGCGACCGGCCACACUGGGACUGAGACACGGCCCAGACUCCUACGGGAGGCAGCAGUGGGGAAUAUUGGACAAUGGGCGAAAGCCUGAUCCAGCAAUGCCGCGUGUGUGAAGAAGGCCUGCGGGUUGUAAAGCACUUUCAGUGGGGAAGAAAAGCUUGGUGUGAAUAGCGCCGAGUCUUG
rnacentral:rRNA from 1 species